GGAUGUCAAGGCAAUCUGGUUGUGACAUCUGUCACCCCAUGGAUCGCCAGGGUGGAUUCGGCUGAUCCGGCUGGCUAGGCAGGUGUCCCUUUUCUCCCUCACUGCUCCAUGUGUGUCCCUCCCGAAGCUGUGUGCUCGGUGGAAGAGGAGGACAAUACCCAAUAGAGGAGGACCGGUCUUCGGUCAAGGGUAUAUGACUAGCUUCACUCCCCUGCUAGAACCUCCAAACAAGCUCUCAAGUACUAACCUCCAAUACUUGUGAAUGUUGACCUUAUUUGAAAAUAGGAUCUUUUAAGAUGUAAUUAGUUUGGAUGAUGUCAUACUGGAUUAGGGUGGGCCCUAAAUC
ensembl:misc_RNA 7SK 7SK RNA